rnacentral:miRNA from 1 species
CUUGGACUACAGGGGUCCAAGAGAUCAGGACUGAUUAUAUAUAUUAUAAAAUACAUAUGUAUAUAUAUUAUAUAUUAUAAUAUAUACAUGGGUAUAAUACAUAUACAUAUAUACAGUCCCGAUCUCUUGGACCACAGGAGUCCAAG